rnacentral:rRNA from 1 species
GAUGAACGCUGGCGGCGUGCCUAAUACAUGCAAGUCGAGCGAACAGACGAGGAGCUUGCUCCUCUGACGUUAGCGGCGGACGGGUGAGUAACACGUGGAUAACCUACCUAUAAGACUGGGAUAACUUCUGGAAACCGGAGCUAAUACCGGAUAAUAUAUUGAACCGCAUGGUUCAAUAGUGAAAGACGGUUUUGCUGUCACUUAUAGAUGGAUCCGCGCCGCAUUAGCUAGUUGGUAAGGUAACGGCUUACCAAGGCAACGAUGCGUAGCCGACCUGAGAGGGUGAUCGGCCACACUGGAACUGAGACACGGUCCAGACUCCUACGGGAGGCAGCAGUAGGGAAUCUUCCGAAAUGGGCGAAAGCCUGACGGAGCAACGCCGCGUGAGUGAUGAAGGUCUUCGGAUCGUAAAACUCUGUUAUUAGGGAAGAACAAAUGUGUAAGUAACUAUGCACGUCUUGACGGUACCUAAUCAGAAAGCCACGGCUAACUACGUG